GACGAACGCUGGCGGCGCGCUUAACACAUGCAAGUCGAGCGAGAACCAGUCCUUCGGGACUGGGACGAGCGGCGAACGGGUGAGUAACACGUGGGUAAUCUGCCCUCGAUUCUGGGAUAGCCCGGGGAAACCCGGAUUAAUACCGGAUAGCCUCUCGAGCUUUUGUAGCUUGUGAGAAAAGGUAAGCUUCGGCCUCCGAUCGAGGAUGAGCCCGCGGCGGAUUAGCUUGUUGGUGGGGAAUGGCCUACCAAGGCGACGAUCCGUAGCUGGUCUGAGAGGACGAUCAGCCACACUGGGACU
rnacentral:rRNA from 1 species